rnacentral:rRNA from 1 species
UACGUAGGGGCAAGCGUUGUCCGGAAUCAUUGGGCGUAAAGAGCGUGUAGGCGGCUUGGUAAGUCCGCUGUGAAAGUCCAGGGCUCAACCCUGGAAUGCCGGUGGAAACUGUCAAGCUUGAGUCCGGAAGAGGCGAGUGGAAUUCCUGGUGUAGCGGUGAAAUGCGACAGAUAUCAGGAGGAACACCAAUGGCGAAGGCAGCUCGCUGGGACGGUACUGACGCUGAGACGCGAAAGCGUGGGGAGCAAACAGG